AGUAGUCAUAUGCUUGUCUCAAAGAUUAAGCCAUGCAUGUCUAAGUACAAGCUGUCUCGUACAGUGAAACUGCGAAAGGCUCAUUAAAUCAGUUAUGGUUCCUUAGAUCGUACCCACGUUACAUGGAUAACUGUGGUAAUUCUAGAGCUAAUACAUGCCGACAGAGCUCCGACCAGCGCGUCGUCGUUCGGCGGUUCGCCCGUCGUCGUCGGCCGUUCGGAAGGAGCGCUUUUAUUAGAUCAAAACCGGCCAAGCGUUCGGAUUGCGCUUCGCGCGCACAUUCGGACGUAAGUGGCCCGCGCAAAGACUUGACGACUCUGAAUAACUUCGAGCUGAUCGCACGGUCCUCGUACCGGCGACGUAUCUUUCAAAUGUCUGCCUUAUCAACUGUCGACGGUAGGUUCUACGCCUACCGUGGUGGUAACGGGUAACGGGGAAUCAGGGUUCGAUUCCGGAGAGGGAGCCUGAGAAACGGCUACCACAUCCAAGGAAGGCAGCAGGCACGAAAAUUAUCCAUUCAGGACUCCUGGAGAUAGUGACGAAAAAUAACGAUACGGGACUCAUCCGAGGCCCCGUAAUCGGAA
rnacentral:rRNA from 1 species